UGUUUUAAAGUUUGAUAAGCAUAUAUUUUAAAGAUUGAUAAGUAUAUGUUUUAAAGUUUGGUAAGCAUAUAUUUAAAGAUUGAUAGGUAUAUGUUCUGAAGCUUAGUAAGUAUGUGUUUUGAAGCUUAGUAAGUAUAUGUUUUGAAGCUUGGUAAGUAUCUAAGGGCCUUGCGCCACUAUGUUAAUGGGCUUCGUGCCACCAUGAUUAAGGGUUUGUGCCACAUUAUACAAGGAUAUUAAUCCAAACCAUUAUAUUCAAGCCAAUAUGUUUCAUGAUAAGAUCUAAGUCUAUAAUGAAUAAGAACAGAUUCAGACUCGCAUUGUGAAUGCUGCAUUAGUAUACAAAAGUACAUGUUUGAAGCUUUGAAUACCAGGUUGGAACUUUACUUGGCAUUGUAGAAUUUCAGAAAUUGCAUGGUCCGCUCGAGCGGAGACCCAUUUUCAGGAACAUUUGAAAAGUUGCAUUUAGUUCGUAACCAACCAGGACGUUCGUCCCCUUUUGUCAACCUUUACGAGUCCAGGCACUAAGCGAGAUCACUCAGUUUUGUGAAGCUUUGUUAAGACAUUGUCAUGUUUUUUUUUGAUUACUCAUUUAAGGUUAAAUGUACAUGACUUCAAUGUUUUUGCAUAUGCCCAAUCUUAGGGCUGGGGCUGUAUAUGUAUAUCUAUAUGACUGAUGCUCACAGUAUAAUUUUGGCCUGUGACUGGUUAUUAUAAUGUAUAUGAUGCAUGUGAUCCUGGCAUGUUAGAGGUAGCUCAA